rnacentral:rRNA from 1 species
CAUUACCGAGUUUACAACUCCCAAACCCCUGUGAACGUACCUACUCGUUGCCUCGGCGGGAGGCCCCGGGGGGCGGACGGCGCUCGCGCCGGAAGCCCUCCCGGACCCCAUGGCUGCCCGCCGGAGGACCACAAACUCUUGUUUUACUUGAAUCUUACACUUCUGAGUAACUGGCGAAAGCCGAAAAUAAAUCAAAACUUUCAACAACGGAUCUCUUGGCUCUGGCAUCGAUGAAGAACGCAGCGAAAUGCGAUAAGUAAUGUGAAUUGCAGAAUUCAGUGAAUCAUCGAAUCUUUGAACGCACAUUGCGCCCGCCAGUAUUCUGGCGGGCAUGCCUGUUCGAGCGUCAUUUCAACCCUCACGCCCCGCGUGGCUUUGGGGGACGGCAGCGGCCUCCGGGCCUACGCCGCCCCCGAAUUUCAGUGGCGGACUCGCCGCGGCUUCCUCUGCGUAGUAGCACACCUCGCACCGGAAAGCGGCGGGCCCAGCCGUAAAACCCCAACUUCUUUUGUGGUUGACCUCGAAUCAGGUAGGAAUACCCGCUGAACUUAA